rnacentral:misc_RNA from 1 species
GAUGAAGAACGCAGCGAAAUGCGAUAAGUAGUGUGAAUUGCAGAAUUCAGUGAAUCAUCGAAUCUUUGAACGCACAUUGCGCCCCUUGGUAUUCCAUGGGGCAUGCCUGUUCGAGCGUCAUUUGUACCUUCAAGCUUUGCUUGGUGUUGGGUGUUUGUCCAUUCUCUUGCAGAGGGACUCGCCUUAAAGUAAUUGGCAGCCAGUGUUUUGGUUUUGAAGCGCAGCACAAGUCGCGAUUCAACGCUAUACGCCGGCUUCCACAAGCCUUUUUCACUUUUGACCUCGGAUCAGGUAGGGAUACCCGCUGAACUUAAGCAUAUCAAUAAGCGGAGGA